ensembl:lncRNA
GCUUUGGCUAUGUCAUAAAGGCAUUUAUUAGCUAGAGAAAGAGCUAGGCUUGAUCACAGCUAUCAGUAUGGUGAAUACUUGCCUAGCCUGGGACUUCGUUACUAGUAAAAGAGGUCCAAUGUGUCAAUGAUGGAAAAAUGAAUCACACAGCCACACCACUUCGAUGAGGAAAAAAAUCAGAAGACGCACACAUCUUUCUGAAAGGUCAUUGUGCAAGCAGGGCCGGGCUGUCUCUGCGGGGACAUAGAAUGGUGAUCUGGAGGGGAGCAGCCGUGAAGACUAUCACGUACACGGUCACCCCAGGGGCGGCCGCAGCCCCCAAUAACACACGACUGGGGCUGUGCUGCAGCCCUGACUUUACUCCUCUUUCUUUGCUCCAGAGAGGCAGGAGCACAGCCGAUCAAUAAGAUGCGCUGACGGUGGUGCCUGCAGCACAGCCAUUUCUCAGGCCGGACACUGAUGGCACCUAUCACCAGCAGUAAAAGGCUGCUCGAGACAGAAUCGAGGCUCGUCCCAUUGCAGGCCUGUCUACGCCUCUCUGAUAAACAUCCCCUGCACGAGCUUGCAGCAAAGAAACCAUUUCCAGGAGGCAAGGUGCCACCCGCCCGCCACCUGCCCUCCCACUUCCCAAUCCACAUUUCCUCGUACUGUUCCACAAUUCUCCCAGGCUCGCUGGCGCUGGCCAGGCCUCUCCAAGGAUGCCCCCAUUUUACUCCCGCAUGUCCUGUUGAGAGAGCAGACCUCAUGGGAAUGCUGCUGGAGGGUCUGUGUGGCUCCCGGCUCCUGGGGACGUGGUGCAGAGAAGGGCACGACGUGCUGUUGAGAGGCAUUCCAGAUUAAGGUACUCCUGGGUGGCCACACCUCGGCAGGCCUUCCUCAUUUUUUGGAGAGGAAAAGGCAUUCUUCUGCCAAACUAGUGGCCUAACAUACUUUUUUUCCUUCUUCUUCUGUCUUUGGGGGAAAAAAGAAAAUGAAUCUGGAUGUUGCAGCCAAGGUGGGUCUGAGCACUCUGCCUCCUCCUCCUGGCCAGGCGCCCCUCACUGAUCUCCGUCAGGGCAAGGCCGGCAGUGGCCAAAGAGCUCUAGGAUGUGCUUUUUGCUCCUUUGAAGGCAUGACGUCAGACUGGGGACGUUUCUGGACAGAGGAUGACGUUUCUAGGACCUAGUUCUGAAAUAGAAGACAGAGGCACAUACCCACCGGGGCCCUUUUCUCCCUUCCUCCCUGCAUAUAUCAUAUGGGAAAACAAAAUCUCCCCAACCCACACACCCUUACUACAAAGGCAGAGGGCUCGGGGGUGGGGACGGCAGGGACGUUCUCACUGGCCUUUGUUUGAACCCACAGCACUAAGAGGCAAUAUGCCUUAAAAGUUAAGAAAAUAAUAUCACGAGACUUUUCUACUCCAAAGUCAGUUUAGAGACCUGGAGAAUAUUCACAGGUGGAACUGAGAAGAGCAUUCUCUAGAAGAGGCAUCAUCUGAGCCAGCGUUUCCCAACCUCAACACUAUCGACAUUUUGGGCCCUGUAACUAUUUGUUUGUUGUGGCCAGCUGUCCUACGCAUAGGAGGAUGCUUAGCAGCAUCAUGGUCUCCACGCAUAAGGUGCCAGUGGCACCCCUCAGUCAUGACAACCAAAAAUGUCUCCAGACACUGCCAAAGGUCCCGGGGGUGGAAAUCGCCCCCAGGAGAAACCGCUGCUUCAAGCCAAGGUGCAGAAGUGGGAAUGAGCCUGGCAGGUCCAGGAUCUGGAGAUGAACAUACCAGAACUUGCACAAGUAAUACCCAUGUCAUCAAGUUGCCAAGAAGAGAUGUGAAAGGAUUUCAUAAAGCAAUCAGCAGCAGCAGCAGCAGCAGCAGCUACCUUUCCUGGAGUGCCUAUCCCAUGGCAAGCAUGUGCUGGGUGCUCAACACGCACCGUGUCUGACAAGUAUUAGUGGUUACUAAUGCUAGUGCCACGCGCUGGUGAUUCAGAGUAAUGGGCAGCCAGAGCCAUCAUUUUCACCAAAUAUGGCAAACAUGAGAUGCCACGGCCAGGCCACGCGCUCUGCUGCAUGGGGGGAAAAAAGCAUGUGCUUUUUGUUCCUUUGCAGGCAUGAUGUCAGACUGGGGACGUUUCUGGACAUAGGAUGAGCUGGAGAACUGAGACAUGCUCCUGUUGGAAGAUCACUGGCCUAAGUAACCCCCUACCUGGCCCCACUCCCAUCUUGUACAGGAGUUUUUUUGCUGGCCACUUAUUUACACCCUCACUACACAGAGUGGUCCAUGACCAGCAGCAAUAGCAUCACCCGGGAACUUGUUAGGAAUUCAGAAUCUCAGACCCCACCCUGAGCUUCCAAUUCAGAAUCUUCAUUCUGCGAGAUCCCCAGGUUAUUACUGAGUGCACGAAAGUCUGAGACACCGCUCUAUCAAACAGCACGAGGCUGCGAGCACCCGUCAGCAUUUGAGAUGGCACAGAUGCACUGAAACAGCCGUCCGUGCACUAGAUUCAUUCAUUUAACAGAUAGUGUAUUGAAUGGUAACCAUGUGUCCUGUCCUUGUGGAGCUGACAGCCCGGUGGCCCAUCACCACCCCCCAGACAGGUGACUACACAGAUGAAGUCACUUGGUUUACAAACUAGGAAAAUGAAACUCCAGCAGCUUCAGAGACUGGGGAGAAAUCCUGCUACUAAUAACCAUAGCAAGAGUUUUAACUCAGACAUCCUUUCACCAAAUCCUGACUCUUUCUACCACACCCACAGUACUUUUCAACUACGAUCAUCAGGGCAAAAAGAAGAAACAGAAGUUUCUGCCCAUUUGAACUACUGAGUCAGCUGAAGGCAGGAUUGGGAGCUGGGAGUCACUCAGACUGACCUCUGGCUUCAGGCAUGAACUCCUCUAGGACCAGAGACAGUUUAAUUCACUGCAGUGGGUCAGCUUUGCUCAAAGUUCUCCAUCAGGUCCAUCAGUUCCAAGUCAAAGGCAAUUGAAGACAACCUGUAUAAAAAGGUACAGAGCAGCCACAGCUCCUGAGAUUAACAAACCUGCUCCCUCCAACUCUAUCUUCCUAUCACCUUAAGUCAAAUGAAGGUACAGGUUACAUCAUCCUGUGGACUCCACAGCUCUCCCCCAAGACCCCGCCUCAGCUGGGCUCCCUAAAACGUGGAACCCUUUUUGUUGCCAUUUAGUUCCAUUUAGUUUAGUUUAGUUUAGUUUUCCCAUAAAGAUGUCACGAGACCUGCAUAGGCAUGCAGCAGCUCCAAAGCUCUGAUCCCAGCGAAAUGACUCAAGAGCCUCAGUUUUCUCAUCUGUAAAAUGGGAAAAUUAGAAACCGCUUCACAGAGUUCCUGGGGGAUUCGUGGAGCUGAUGGUGCAUCCUGUGCUCAGCCUGAAGAUGGAGGCCUGGCAAGUGUGCCACAAAGACCAGCUACCUUCUCCCUCCCUUUGUACUGAGACCCUUCCAGGGGGCUGCUGAGGGUGGAUGGCACCUGAUGAGUCUCCUUAGGGAUUCUCCCACACCUCUGAUUGAGCUGCUGGGGCCACAGAGGAGGCAGGGCCUCAUUCAAAUGCAGAGGAUGGAGCUCAGCAGACGGGCAUUGCCCUAGACGCUGACAGCAAGUUCAGGGCCUUCUUCAACACAUGUUCUGUGGGCCUUCUGUGAUGCUCCAGAAAAGAAGAUGGCUGUGCAAGUCUCAGAUGGGAGCUGUGAGUGUCUGCAGGGACACCUGACAUUCUUCUGGUUCAUCCAGCUCAGGGGCCUUAGAUCACCUCUAAGACAGAAGUUGAAAAUGCCAGACAUCCAUUUUCCCAGCCUCCCUUGCAGCUAUGAAGCUGCCACCAAAUGCCCUCACUGAAGAUCUGACUCAGGAGCCAGGGCCUGUAAAGAAUCCAGUCUGCUGAGGACAUCUCAGGAGUCGAGCCACAGUAUGCCCAGAUGCUGUGACACCCAGCUUCUGUGGGGUCAGCAGUGGGACUGUUUCCAGUGGCAAUAAUGAUGUCUCCUCAGGAGCUAUUCUGGAGACUGAAUCUAGACAGGCUGAGCCUGAUUCUCUCCACCUCCUAAGGACUCUGUGAGCUCCUCAAGUCCCUUAAUAGGUUAUUUCUCUGUUGAAAUUAAACAGUGUCUCUUGCUGAAGCCAGGAACCCUGAUGGCAGCAUCUCUGUUUAAUUUCUAGUCUUAAACUCAGCUUGUAGAGAGAAGUAAGUGCACACUGAUAGAGAAAUCCCCAGCACUGCCCAUGCCCACUAUGUCUGCAUGAGUGCUUCUCAAAGUGAGCUCCUUGGAACACACACAUCAGUCAACUAUGGUGUAACUAGGGUAUUGAUAAAAGUGCAGACUCCUAGCUCUCACUCCACAGAUAAUGAGUUAGAAUCUUUGGAGCUGUGGUUCGGAAGUAUGCAUUUUUAGUAAACCCCUCCCCCAAUUGUUAUGCUCACCAAAGUGUGAGGACCACCAGUCUAUGGUGCUCCCUAACCUUUUCCACAGACAGUUGUAACGUCUGUGUGACUCAGUGUGAUAAAAGCAGGCAGCUCCCUAUGACCGCAGGCAACUGGCCCAGGGGGGCUCUGGCUGCCCCAGGUCCCACCCAGCUGCCCUGAGCACUAGGGGGAACCAAUACCUCACACACCACUACCCACUGUGACCACACUGGCUGUGAGGUUCUGGACUACUCCAGGGCUACUCAAACUGUGGUCCAUGGACCCGUGCCAUCCGUGAACAGCUUGUUGUCAUUCUGCAACACCGAAACUAGAGAAAUUGAGAGUAAACAUCUAGAAGCCACUGUGGCAGUUUGCCAGGGUAAUUUUAUGUUUGGUGAAUCUGUAAUAAAUUUUGG